rnacentral:rRNA from 1 species
GACGAACGCCGGCGGCGUGCUUAACACAUGCAAGUCGAACGGAAAGGCCCUUUCGGGGGUACUCGAGUGGCGAACGGGUGAGUAACACGUGGGUGAUCUGCCCUGCACUUUGGGAUAAGCCUGGGAAACUGGGUCUAAUACCGAAUACACCCUGCUGGUCGCAUGGCCUGGUGGGGGAAAGCUUUUGCGGUGUGGGAUGGGCCCGCGGCCUAUCAGCUUGUUGGUGGGGUGAUGGCCUACCAAGGCGACGACGGGUAGCCGGCCUGAGAGGGUGUCCGGCCACACUGGGACUGAGAUACGGCCCAGACUCCUACGGGAGGCAGCAGUGGGGAAUAUUGCACAAUGGGGGCAACCCUGAUCCAGCCAUGCCGCGUGCGGG